CAAAACCCCUCUCUCCCACUACUUCCCUCAUACCCUAACGCAAUCGGUUUCUCUCUCAGAACCAAGAAAGAAGACCCUCUCUCCCACUACUUCUGAAUAUCACUGUAGGUUUUCUCCCUCAAACCCUCAUCCAUUUGGUUUCUCUCUCAUAACCGAGAAAGAAGACCCUAUCUCCCACUACUUCCAAGUAUUUUUGUAAGUUUUUCUCCCUCAAACCCUCACCCAUUCGGUUAAGAAGACCCUAUCUACCACUACCCUCACCCAUUCGGUUUCUCCCUCAAAACCGAGAAAGAAUACCCUAUCUCCCACGUCCUACUACUCCAUUUCAUUUGAGAAAGAAGUCUCCCACGAAGUCUCCCACCAAUUCUUUCACGAUUGGGGAGUUCAGUUAUUUGGAAAUAUAUAUAAAUGGGAUUUGUGAUUCCCUUGGAGUAUGCACAACUCCAAUAGAGCAACCAAAUGAGUCAUUUGUCAAAGAGGAAAGCAAUUGGAGGAGUGAUUAUUCCACUAGGAGAACAAUCGAAGGAGAGGAACUCGACAAAAGCAACUUGGAAAUUUUUAAAGUGGCACAACUAACAACAAAAAUUAAGCAUCUAUCAUUUGUAUUACAUAAAAAGUUUUUGCCUAGGGGCAAGGCCCAAGAUAAUUGGCCGGAUUGCAAUUACCAAACUUCAGGGGAGGGGAGGUUUCAACAAUAGAAGAUUUCAGCAUAAUUUAGAUGCACUGAUGAUUACACAUGAGAAAAGGAUGGGAAAGUAAGACAACAGGGAGGCAUAUGUGUGAGUAUGAUUGAGAAAAGGCCACCCAUACAGAUGAAUUUUUUAUAACCGAUUAAUUUCUCUAGGUUAAUCCACCAUAUGAGCUUCUUUUGUCUAUAUUAUUAUGCAUUUAUUGACACUUUAAAUUGGGCCUCAUGUUGUUGGUUGAUUGACAAAGCAUGAGAAGGCUUUCAUGAUAUUAACCUAAAGGACUGAAGCCUCAUAUGGUAAGCUCCACUUUAUUGGUUGCAAAAUGUGAUUGGUUGGUAAUGGUAUUUAUCUACAAAACCCUCCCCUUCAGCUUGGACUUGAAAAAUUGUGACAUUUCUCUACAGGAACUCAAACUUCAUAGUCAAUCUAUCAAUUUGUCAACUAACUAGGUGAAGUAUAGUGAUGAUAAGCGGAAGUUCAGCCCCAUUUAUUAAAUUAAGUCAUGUGUCUACAUUCAAGUCUCUAUUUGUAUAAAGGUGUGGAAAGGGAUCUUAUUGUCUGCCUACAUGUGUGGAAAGGGGCCUUAUUGCCUACCUACAUGUUUUAAGUCUUUACCAGUGGAAGGAUAUUAAGAUGUACCAACAGAAAAUAAAGACAUGAUCUAGCAGUGUGAACGAAUGAGAUUAACAUCCAUACCA